GGCCCUACGGGGUGCAGCAGGCGCGAAACCUCUACAAUGCACGCAAGUGUGAUAGGGGUACCCCAAGUGCUCAUACACUGUAUGGGCUUUUGCUAAGCGUAAAUAACUUAGCGAAUAAGUGGUGGGUAAGACUGGUGCCAGCUGCCGCGGUAACACCAGCGCCACGAGUGGGAGCCGUUCUUAUUGGGUCUAAAGCGUCCGUAGCAGGUUGAGUAAAUCUCUCGUGAAAUUGUCCGGCCUAACCGGACAGCGUGCGGGAGACACUGCUUGACUAGGGACCGGGAGGAGUGAGAGGUAUUUCGGGGGGAGCGGUAAAAUGCUAUAAUCCUCGAAGGACCACCGAUGGCGAAGGCAUCUCACCAGAACGGAUCCGACUGUGAGGGACGAAAGCCAGGGGAGCAAACCGGAUUAGAUACCCGAGUAGUCCUGGCCGUAAACGCUGCGAGCUAGGUGUUGCGCAAGCUUCGUGCUUGCGCAGUAUCGUAGAGAAGUCGUUAAGCUCGCCACCUGGGAAGUAUGGUCGCAAGGCUGAAACUUAAAGGAAUUGGCGGGGGAGCAC
rnacentral:rRNA from 1 species